rnacentral:rRNA from 1 species
GAUGAACGCUGGCGGCGUGCCUAAUACAUGCAAGUCGAGCGAACGGACGAGAAGCUUGCUUCUCUGAUGUUAGCGGCGGACGGGUGAGUAACACGUGGAUAACCUACCUAUAAGACUGGGAUAACUUCGGGAAACCGGAGCUAAUACCGGAUAAUAUUUUGAACCGCAUGGUUCAAAAGUGAAAGACGGUCUUGCUGUCACUUAUAGAUGGAUCCGCGCUGCAUUAGCUAGUUGGUAAGGUAACGGCUUACCAAGGCAACGAUGCAUAGCCGACCUGAGAGGGUGAUCGGCCACACUGGAACUGAGACACGGUCCAGACUCCUACGGGAGGCAGCAGUAGGGAAUCUUCCGCAAUGGGCGAAAGCCUGACGGAGCAACGCCGCGUGAGUGAUGAAGGUCUUCGGAUCGUAAAACUCUGUUAUUAGGGAAGAACAUAUGUGUAAGUAACUGUGCACAUCUUGACGGUACCUAAUCAGAAAGCCACGGCUAACUACGUGCCAGCAGCCGCGGUAAUACGUAGGUGGCAAGCGUUAUCCGGAAUUAUUUGGGCGUAAGCGCGCGUAGCGGUUUUUUAGUCUGAUGUGAAAGCCCACGGCUCAACCGUGGAGGGUCAUUGGAAACUGGAAAACUUGAGUGCAGAAGAGGAAAGUGGAAUUCCAUGUGUAGCGGUGAAAUGCGCAGAGAUAUGGAGGAACACCAGUGGCGAAGGCGACUUUCUGGUCUGUAACUGACGCUGAUGUGCGAAAGCGUGGGGAUCAAACAGGAUUAGAUACCCUGGUAGUCCACGCCGUAAACGAUGAGUGCUAAGUGUUAGGGGGUUUCCGCCCCUUAGUGCUGCAGCUAACGCAUUAAGCACUCCGCCUGGGGAGUACGACCGCAAGGUUGAAACUCAAAGGAAUUGACGGGGACCCGCACAAGCGGUGGAGCAUGUGGUUUAAUUCGAAGCAACGCGAAGAACCUUACCAAAUCUUGACAUCCUUUGACAACUCUAGAGAUAGAGCCUUCCCCUUCGGGGGACAAAGUGACAGGUGGUGCAUGGUUGUCGUCAGCUCGUGUCGUGAGAUGUUGGGUUAAGUCCCGCAACGAGCGCAACCCUUAAGCUUAGUUGCCAUCAUUAAGUUGGGCACUCUAAGUUGACUGCCGGUGACAAACCGGAGGAAGGUGGGGAUGACGUCAAAUCAUCAUGCCCCUUAUGAUUUGGGCUACACACGUGCUACAAUGGACAAUACAAAGGGCAGCGAAACCGCGAGGUCAAGCAAAUCCCAUAAAGUUGUUCUCAGUUCGGAUUGUAGUCUGCAACUCGACUACAUGAAGCUGGAAUCGCUAGUAAUCGUAGAUCAGCAUGCUACGGUGAAUACGUUCCCGGGUCU